AUGGACUUCGCGGAGCAGGACGUCGACGUCUUCGGCGAGGAAUACGACGGCGCCGAAGCCGAGGCCGAGGGCGGAGGCGGCGCCUCCUCCGGCUCCUCCUCCCCCUCCUCAUCCUCCUCCUCCUCCGCCGCCGCCUCCUCCUCCUCCUCCAGCGCCGCCUCCAGCGGCCGCAGCAGCAGCCCCGCCGCCGGCGGCGGGGACGAGGACGGCGCUGACGACGGGGACGGCGGGGAGUACGACUCGUUCGACGUCGUGCCCGUCAGGCCCGCCGCCGGGUACGGGGACGACGAGGAGGAGGCUAGAGAUUUGUUUGGCUCCGACAACGAGGAGUACGUCAAGACCCCCGCGCGUAGCAACUACCUAGUUCCAGUGCUGCCCCCGAUACGGAACACCAACAAUUUUUCUCGAGGAGGACGAGGUGGCAGGGGCCCACCUAUUCUUCCAAGGCCAGGAGGCCAUCCAGGAGGACGAAAUAAUUAUGGCCACGGCGGGAGGUUUUCAUAUGGAAAUGGGCGUAACGUUGAAGGUUUUGUUUCAGAAAUGAAACUUAAUAAGAGUGAAGAAACUUUAUCUAGGAAAGCGGUUGCUUUUCAAGAGCCAUGUGAGAUCGCAUGCUACAGCCGUGUUGAGGGUGGGGAUGUAUAUUUUGAUGAUCGCAGCUUGAGGCUUUUCAAACGUAAUAUUUGUGACUAUGCUGGUGAAGAUCUAAAUAAAGGAUUUGAAACGUUUAUAGAGAAAAGAGAUUUGGGUUCUCAAGGAUUUGGCGAUCUUCUUGCAUGCAUAAGAAAUUCAAAUCUACCUCUUCAGAAUAUACAUUUUGUGACGUAUCGCAACAACCUUAACAAGAUAUUGGCCACGGCUUAUCUAAAAGAUCCAUGGAAGAUGGGUGUGCACAAAAGAAACGGUGUUGUAUACCUUGAUGUCCAUAAGCUCCCUGAAAGACCACAGAGCGAGAUUGAGCGCAGGAGAUGCUUUUGGGGCUAUUCUUUUGAAAAUCUUGCCACUGAGAACUCCAUUGAUGAAGACGGAAGCGGCAUUGAUGCAAAUGUAGAGUAUUGUUCUGUAAUAAAGACGAAAUUGGGCGCGCAUCGCAUUGUCAUGGGUGCUGAGAUGGACUGCUGUGAUUCAACCGACGAUGGUAGGCGGUUCUAUGUGGAGUUAAAAACAAGCAGAGAGCUGGAGUAUCAUACGGUGGAAAAAUUCGAGAGAGAGAAGUUACUUAGGUUUUGGAUUCAAUCAUUCCUUGCUGGCGUGUCGUAUGUUGUUGUGGGAUUCAGGAAUGAUGCUGGUGUACUUAUACGAACUGAGAGACUAAGAACUAAAGAUAUCACACAAAAAGUGAAAGCAAAGAGCUACUGGCAGGGUGGUGUCUGCUUGGCCUUUGCUGACGAGGUUUUAUGCUGGCUGUAUGGCACUGUCAAAGAAAAUGAAGACUACGUUCUGCAAUUUGCACACCCGUUCCAUCGAUUGGAACUAUUAAAAGCCCAAUCUCCGUGCCCCGAUGCAAUAACUCUGCAUGUGGAACAGCUCACCGGUGCAACAAACUAA
rnacentral:rRNA from 1 species